CAAAUAUAUAAUAACAACUGCAGUACUCUUUAAAACUGACUUAAGACUGAGAUGGAAAGUGGCUGCAGUGUACUUGCUUUCAGUGAUGUCUGGGCUGGAGUUAUUUGGAGCUGCAGUGGUUGAUUACUGUUUGCGAGGAGGUCUCAUCAGGAGGAAAUCGCAGUUGCUGUGGACAGGACUACACAGGUACUUCAUUCCCCCGUAAUUCUGUGUGGCCAUUCCCUGCCUUGUGUCAGUGAUGGGGCCAGUAUGAGGAAGCAGAACUGCCAACAGAUCCAGCUGGGUUUUCCAUUGUGUGGGUUACCUGCUCUGCCAUGCGGCACUGCGCAAACACCAGCGGUAGUAGAAUGGAGAUGGAAACAAGCCUGGGUGUUGGAAGUGCUUGUCAAGAUCGUGGUUGCAAUGCAAAGCCAGCCCAGGAGCAGCUGUCCCUCUGUUGCUUUCAUCUAGGGGAAAGCAGGGGAAGAAGAGGCUCUGGUCAGAAAAGGGUUUUCAACUUAACCUUAAAACAUGAUGGAGAAAACAACUGCAAAAACAAAUACUGAUUUAGAGUACGCGGAACAAUCUCACUCCAUAAGAACCCAUUCUCCACCCCGAGCAGCCAAGGACAAUGGCCAGUUCCUUACCAGUCUCCUUCUGCUCUGUCAUGUCACCUUUCAUCAUCUCCUUGGCUGCUCUUUCCUGAGUCUCAGCUUUUGUCCUUCUGCUACUUUGACUUUCCUGUCUUUUUACUGCCAUUCUUUAAUACUCCUUCACUCUACCAGAGGCUGCAGUUCUGAAUGCUCUCAUGUUGCUUAGCAGUAUUCUUCCUCCUUUCUCAGCAGCUUGGUUUUCUUAGAAAUAUUCCAUGUUUGCAGCCCUCGCUUGCUUGUCCUGAAUUCUGAUGUCUCCUAGUCUUUAUCCCCCAUAGCUAAACAACAGCCUAACUUACCGAGUUCACCCAAGUGAAUGUCUGUAGGCAUUACUAAGACUACUUGGACAGUACUGUUUUGGAAUUGGUUAUACUUCACAAGAUCCUCAUUGGCUUUGUAGUUGUUAGGAGACUUACAGCCUGCUUGUUGCUGCUUGUCUGCCCCAGACCAAACAUAUGCCGUGGGGCCAGCUGUGCUGCUCUAAAGGGCCAUCAGACAAAAUGCACUCGAAUUGCACAUUAUUCAGUCAAUCUAGUCAUUAUGCUCCUCUGAUGAAGAGUCUUGAAAAAAUUAAAUUAUAUGUGGAUUUCUCAGUCACCAGUAGUAUAGAAUGUGUUUGAAAAGGCAAGAGGGAAACAUGCAGUUUUAACCAGCCACUAAUCCCACUGCCUGGGGGAGUGCUGCAGCUUAGAGCAUCACAUUCCUUUUCUUGUCUGUUAGCUAAAUGAUAGAACAGAAUGGUUUGGUUUGGAAGGGAUCUUAAAGCCCACCCAGUUCCAACCCCCUCCUGUGGGCAGGGCUGCCACCCACCAGCUCAGGCUGCCCAGGGCCCAUCCUGUGUGGCUGUGAACUCCUCCAGGGAUGGGGCACCCACAGCUCUCCGGGCAGUCUAUGCCAGUGCCUCACUGCCCUCUCUGUAAAGAAUUUCCCCCUAACAUCUAGCCUAAAUCUCCCCUCUUCUAGUUUAAAAACAUAUAAAAAGUUCUGUUUGUAAGCUCACUUCAAGUGCUGGAAGGCACGGUAACAUCUCCCAGAGCCUUCCCUUCUCCAUGCUGAACAAGCAUUCCUUGGGGCAUUGGUUGACCUCUGAAGGUAUGAGGUGCUCCAAACCUGCUUGUGAAAGUUGUUAUUUCUUUCUUUCUUUCUUUUUUUUCCCCAGAGAAAAGAAAGAAGACCCUGGCCCUUCAGAAUGAUGCAUCUGCAACUGCAUCAUACAGAAAUUUACAGCCAUCUUCAAACACCGCCCAGCUUGCCUGCUGGGGCAUCUAUUUCAGUGCCGAAUAGAUGGUCAUUGCCAUAACAUCCAACACUGUGAUUGCUGCUGUGAUGGCCACUAUUAGUGCAAAUGGCAGUUUCAGGCCCAUUACACUGAGUGCAUUCAGGAGGGCCCAAAACCUGUGGAAAAUGUAUAAUUAAACUAUUUGGGAACACUUAGGCCAACUGAUACCAGAAUGAAUUAUGGUAUAUGCAGCUUGUUGUUCUUCUAAUGAGUAAUACAGUUACUGCUAUAAAGUAGCUGUUUUGAAUAAUUGUCUAAUUUUCAAAUGGAAAAAUAUAUUGAGAUAAUUACUUAAGUAGAGUCUAAAAAUAAAUUCUAAGUUCAUUAAGAAACAGCUUUAAAUUUGCUAAAUACUUUAGCUGGCCUUAUUAAAAUACAUUGCUUCAGAAAGUGAGAAAUUAUUCUUUUGUGGUGAGAUGAGAAAAGUAGCUUUAAUAACAAAAGUAUGUUUUAAAUUUAAAUAUGUAAGCAUUUCAAACCUUACAGCUUCAAAAGUGAAAAAGAUGAAUGGAUCAAACCCUGUCCCCAUUUCAGUUAAAGACAGUCUUGCCACUUAUUUCAGUCAAGUACGGGUGACACUCGAAGUGGUGAAUCUAACCUAUAAUUUCCCCACUGCUCUGUUUUACUGGGAGAUAAUACAUUUACCUCAUUCAGGCCUUUGUAUCUCUCAUUAGCUCUCAUCCAGGAACCCCAAGGAGUUUAAUGGUGGAACCUGAACAAUCAUGCAAAAUCCACUUCUGCUUAUAAUACCCAUGUAGGGAUGUCACCCCUCUCAAACUCUUUCCUAGUGAAACAAACCAGUGAGAUUCAAGACCUGAAAAGAAGAUUAUUGUAGCUUUUACAAAAAUCUUUACAAGUGGGUCAGUUACUUUACAGCUCUAAUAGUAUUCUUUUUUUCUUUCUCAUGUAAUUAUUAACCCAGUAGCAUAUUUUGAUUUAAGUUAAUCUUUGCUUUUGUAUAGCGUUAUUUGCAAUAAAUUCUGAAGUAUCAAAUGCUUUUGUGUGACGUGGAGAAGGUGUCUUUAUCAGCAGGAGCAUCUCCUGGGAAAGAAUCAAAGAGCACAGGCAGCAGUGUGAAGACAGUCUAAUCACACAAGAUGGAAUUAUCAUAGAUUAUCACUCUUCUAAUUCAUUCUGAAUAGGAACUACCUUAUUAUCUACUUUAUCAUCCUUUACUGGAUGUGGCAGGGAAUGUGCCCACUGAGGAUAACGACAAGGCUGAAGUUCUCAAUGCCUUCAUACAAUCAUAGAAUCACUAAGGUUGGAAAGGACCCACAGGAUCAUCCCAUCCAACCAUUUGCCCUUCACCAAUGGUUCCCACUAAACCACAUCCCUCAACACAACAUCCAAACGCUCUUUGAACACCACCGGGCUUGGUGACUCCACCACCUCUCUGGGCAGCCCAUUCCAGUGCCUGACCACCCUUUCAGAGAAGUAGUAGUAGUAAUUAGCUCUGGUCAGCACCAUUCUUGGUUUAACUUACAUGUAUACUGGAAGUGCAGGCUCUCAUUAUAGAGAAGAAGAGGCACAGAGCUAAUUACAGUUGUGUAACCACGUCCAGUGCCAUCUGACUUGCCAUAGGGCAGCUGAGAAGACAAGGAGGGAAGAAAUGGG
ensembl:lncRNA